CCAGGUAUAGCGAAGUUGGUAUCGCGCCGCAUUAGGGAUGCGGAGAUCGUGUGUUCGAGCCGCACUACUUGGACCA
rnacentral:tRNA from 1 species